GGAUUUUCAGCUUCUCCGGGGGAGGACAACAAAAUGAAAAAACCCCACUUGAUGGCCACCUGCAUUUCCCGUGUGGAAAAAUGAGACUGCCUUUGUUAGGGUAAGAUGCCCUUCCCACUUGCCCCUGUACAUCUGGCCUAAGUCACUUCUUUUUAAUCCUUAGGGACAUUUGAGUUUUCAACACCUGCUCAGACCUUUCCCUGCAUUCAAACUUCCUUCUUUGGCAUCCCAGUGCCUCAGGCCCUGUUAGGUGACCGACUAAUCCCUGGGUUUUCAACCCUGGCUGCACAUCGGGAUCUCCUGGGCCAAUGAACAAAAUUCCCACGCAAGGCUGCACCCCUGACCAGUUGAAUCAGAAUCUCAGGGGAAAAGGGGGUGGGGGGGCAGGCCUAGUGUACUAAAAAACGAAACAAAAUCUCAGUUCCCUCGGUGAUUCCAAACUGUAUCCAGGAAGGCAAACCACUGUGAUAAUCUGCUAAUCCAAUUCAAGAGGAAGUUUUAGCAUCUAAACACGGUUUAACGGCCUCCCACAUAACUUUAGUCUUUCAAGCUUUUCCGGAAGGAGUAAUUGAUGUGGAAAUUGAAGGCAGAACUAGGAGGAUGGUUUUGGUUAGGUGAACCUUUUACUUGAUUUUCAAAUUAGAGUUGGUGGCUGUUUGGACCUAAAUGUAACUAUCAUUUCUAUAAUUAGUCUAUUAAAACAUUUUGUAAUCAUUUUAUCAAGCACAGACAGGUCAUGGUGGCUUUAUAGCUUUACAUGGUGCCAUUUUAUUAUUACUAUUAGUAAUUCUUUUUUUGAGGAAGACUGGCCCUGAGCUAACAUGCAUGCCCAUCUUCCUCUACUUUAUAUGUGGGACACCUGCCACAGCAUGGCUUACCAAGCGGUGUGUAGGUCUGCACCCUCCAUCCAAACCGGUGAACCCCCCGAAUCAAGCGGAAGGUGCAAACUUAACCGCUGUGCCACUGGUCGAUCCCCUUUUAAAAAUUAUUUUGAACCAGCAAGUUUUUUAAUCAAUGAAUUUGAGUUGCUAUUGAGACCUUCCGUGGGUUCUGGAAAUGCCGCUGGGUUUGACAAGCACAAGAAGUUAUGGUGGCUUUUUGAAAGGUCAUGAGUGGCCAAUACAGCAAGACAGGAACAUGUGCUGGCAGCCACUCGAUAAAUACUUGGUGAAUAAAUUGACAAGGCAUUUUUUCCUCCUCAUCUUCACUUGAGAUGGAGAAUUUGGUGACAUCUUGCAGUAGGGGGAGGGUGUAUGUACGCCCUCGUCAGAUGUCCUCCGACGGAGUGUUUUGUUAAGCCAUCCCUAGACGAUCCACAGAAGGCUCUAGGUAGAGAAAACACUGGGUUAGGCAAGAGCAGCCCCCACGCACCUCGUGUAUGUCCUUCCAAGGCUCCCUUAAACUUCAGUUUGGCAUAGCAGGGACCCCAGGCUCCCCCUAACCGAAGCCUAGAAGAAGGUGCUGUGUGUUCAGUCUGACCUCCCCACGACCCGAAUAGGCAAACAGACGGCACCCCUUGGAAAGGACCAGUGCAGCCUGGCUAGAAGGCUGGGCGGUGGGCUAGCAUUAAGGGGCACAACGGGGACAAUCCUGGGGGCUGCACCCAAAGCAUCCCCUGCACCUGCAAAUCCCCCACCUCAGUUUGGCCCCCCUGCACCCCGGCGGUCCAGCCCACCAGGGAGAGGCUGCCCGCGGGGCCGCAGUGGGGAGGAGGGUCGGCGGCCGGAGGAGGGAGGCGGCGAGCGAGGCUGGGGCGGGGGGCGCGGCGGGCGCGGUGCGGUCCAGGGGGAGGCGGGCGGAGGGAAGCGCCGCUGCCGCCACUGCCGCCGCUGCCGCCACUGCCGCCGCCUCACCCGCGGCGACACAGACGCCGGGAGCGGCCGAGGCGAGUGACUUCUUCUGACUUGAGCUGGCAGUGUGCUUUGAGAGAUCUACCACAGUUGCAGGGCCAUUGAACUGCUGGUGAUCAAAUCUGUCGUGAUCCCGUGGAGAGCUCUGAGGUCCGAGGUGCUGUGUGACUGCAUAUUUGAGAUUCCUUAAUUGAGAGCUGAGGGGAGAAGGAGCCCAGUCUUAUUGGUCACACCUUCCCGGAAUGGAGCUUCCAUCAAAGCCAAGAGGAGCUUCCAUGUGAGCUAAGAGGUUGGGGAAGAAGAAGGUCAUGACUCAAGUGCCACAGAUUAUCAAUGUUCUUAUCAAAUUUUAGUAUAUUUUCUUGAAUAAAUAUUUCUUCAUUGGCUGUAUGCCCUAAGGACCAUUUUUAGAGACUUUAUAUGACAUUUUAAAAUAUUUUUCACCAGUUAUGCUUGUUUCACUGGGGAACAGGCCCAUGGAACUCCUCAAAGUGCCAUGCUAAAAGUGGAAUCUCAGUGUUUUAUUUUGUUUUUUUUAAUAUAUAUAUACAUUUUCAUUAAAUAGUGCUCUAGGUGCAUAUAAGUUUUGAUACAUUAUAUUUUUGUUGUUCAGUUCAAAAUAUUUCUAAAUUGCAAUGUAAAUCUUUUUAAUCCAUGGAUUAUUUAGAAAUGUACUGCUUAGUUUCCAUUUAUGGAUAUUUUGUUUGUCUUUUUAACAUUGAUUCCUAGCUUUGUUCUACUGUUUACAGGGUAUACUCUGUGACUUUGAUUAUUUAUAGUGUGUUGCGACAUUCCUAUGGCCCAGUAUGUAGUCAAUAUUGUUAAAUACAUCUGAGAAAAAAAUGUGUGUUUUGCAAUUGUUGAGAUCAUCAUUCUUCAUAUGGUAAUUAAGUCA
ensembl:lncRNA